GAUGAACGCUAGCGGGAGGCCUAACACAUGCAAGCCGAGCGGGAUCUCAUGGAUAGCUUGCUCACUAACAAUGCGAGCGGCGUACGGGUGCGUAAUACGUGUGCAACCUGCCUUUAUCUGGGGGUUAGCUUUUCGAACUGACGCUAAUACCCCCUUCACCUAUCGAUUGGAAUCAGUUAAUAUUCAAAGCUCCCGCGGUUGGAUGUGGGCACGCGUAAGAUUAGCUAGUUGGUGAGGUAACGGCUCCACAAGGCUGCGAACUUUAGGGUGCAUGAGAGUGUGCUCCCCUAGACCGGAACUGAGACACGGACCAGACUGCUACGGGAGGCAGCAGUGAGGAAGAUUGGACAAUGGGGGAGAGCCUGAUCCAGCCAUCCCGCGUGAAGAACUAAGGACCUAGGGUUUGUAAACUUCUGUUAUACAAGGAUAAACCUACUAUCGUGAGGGUAGCUGAAGGUACUGUAUGAAUAAGCACCGGCUAACUCCGUG
rnacentral:rRNA from 1 species